UACGAAGGGGGCAAGCGUUGUUCGGAUUUACUGGGCGUAAAGCGUACGUAGGCGGAUCAUUAAGUCAGGGGUGAAAUCCCGGGGCUCAACCUCGGAACUGCCUUUGAUACUGGUGAUCUUGAGUCCGGGAGAGGUGAGUGGAACUCCUAGUGUAGAGGUGAAAUUCGUAGAUAUUAGGAAGAACACCAGUGGCGAAGGCGGCCCACUGGAUCGGUACGUGACGCUGAGGUGGCGAAAGCGUGGGGAGCAAACAGGG
rnacentral:rRNA from 1 species